AGCCACAGGCAUAUCAGCCUGCAGCCCAAGGCCGGUUACUCACUAAAACUAAGCAAAGCUGAGCCUGGUCAGUAAUUGGAUUGGAGACCACAUGGGAAAACUAGGUUACUGUUGUAG
rnacentral:rRNA from 1 species